AACGAACGCUGGCGGCAGGCCUAACACAUGCAAGUCGAACGCCGUAGCAAUACGGAGUGGCAGACGGGUGAGUAACGCGUGGGAACCUUCCCUAUGGUUCGGAAUAGCUCAGGGAAACCUGGGGUAAUACCGGAUAAGCCCUUCGGGGGAAAGAUUUAUCGCCAUUGGAUGGGCCCGCGGCGGAUUAGCUAGUUGGUGAGGUAACGGCUCACCAAGGCGACGAUCCGUAGCUGGUCUGAGAGGAUGAUCAGCCACACUGGGACUGAGACACGGCCCAGACUCCUACGGGAGGCAGCAGUGGGGAAUAUUGGACAAUGGGCGAAAGCCUGAUCCAGCCAUGCCGCGUGAGUGACGAAGGCCUUAGGGUUGUAAAGCUCUUUUGGCGGGGAGGAUAAUGACGGUACCCGCAGAAUAAGCUCCGGCUAACUUCGUGCCAGCAGCCGCGGUAAAAC
rnacentral:rRNA from 1 species